UUCGGCCUUGUUUAUGGUUUCUUCCUUCCGACGAACAUCUGUUAGCUUCGCUAUAACUAAUACUUUUCAAGUUUAAAGUACGAUUUCUUUUUAAAUAAUCAGAAUUGUCUGUGAUCUUGAAACGAAAGAAGUUACAAAAAAAAAUAAAUUAUGGAAAAUCAUAAAAUAUGGGCUCCCGAUCCAGUUCACGGUUUCAGAUUAGGUAAAAUUGUUGAUAUAGGCGAGGAAACAAUAAACGUUCAACUUUUGGAUGAACCGAGCAGGAUAAUCUCUGC